GGGAGAGGGAACUGGGAUUGACAUGUAAAACAAGAUUGUUUCUAAUUUAAAUUAAAAAUUAUUAAAAAGAAAAGAAAACACAGAAACAAAAAAAAUAUAAAAGAAAAAGGAACAGUGAACCUCAGUGGUAAGUUAGACAAUGUUCCCAAUGGGAUGGUAGACACAGGAAAACAUGAAUAAUAGCAUAAUUUAUCCAGGUAAGUGCAAUAUAACAGUCAAAAGAUUAAGUCUUCCAAGGCUUUUGACUAGAUAGUUCUCUAUCUCAGAACUUAAAGAAAGAAAGCUAAGAGGAUAUUUGAAAAUGUGGAGUUCUAUAUUCUCUCUGUGUGAGAGGACCUCUAUCUACAAGAACCCCUUUAGAGAUGAAAAUACUUCAUACUGAUAGACAUCACUUAUCUGCUAAAGUGUUAUUAUGGAAUAACGCAAUGUCAAGGGGAAAAGUUCUCAAUAUUAGAUGGACAAAGUCUAUAUAAAAGUACAUAAAAUUUAUCCUAUAGGAAAAAUCAUUUGUAUACCUGCCUGUAUGGAAAAUUGGGAAAGUUACCUACCAUCUCAAAACAUUUACCAUUUCUCUACUGUGCAAUUUAAAGAAAAUAUUUCUUUUAGAUGCCUUGAAAUAUGGAAUUCAUUAUUUCCUAUUUUCAUCCUACCAUGCAAUAGAAUACCAAACUCUAACUUUUCCCUAAUUACAUCUGUUACCUUGGCAGUAUCUCCAUACCCCCUGUCCUUUCCAGUAUGUGGUAACCUCUGAUUUACUUUGGACCUCAUGAAAUACAAUAUGAAUAGAGAUUUAUUUUUAUGUAUAUGUGUUUAUGCAUUUAUAUACACACACCAGAGGUGUGUGUGUGUGUGUGUGUGUGUGUGUGUGUGUGUGUGUGUGUGUGUGUGUGUGUGUGCCCAUGGAUGCCAAAAGAGGCUGUUAGAUCCCCUGGAGCUUGAGUUAUAGGCAGUUGUGAGCUGCCCAUUUGUGGGUGCUAGAAUCUAAACUCAGGUCCUCUGGAAGUGUUCUUAACCACUGAGAUUUCUCUCCAUUCCCAAGAUCAGAAAAAAAGAAAAAAAGAAAGAUUCUCCAGGUUCUAAUUUAGAAGGCAUGUUAAUAGGUCAAUCGGUGCUAAUCUCAUACAAAUAAUUGUGAAAAGAAGAAAUGGGAAAUUCCUCAGUUCUCUAUUUUGUCUUAUAAUGAGCAGGUGAUGGGAGAGGCUUGUUCUUUGCUGUCUUCUUUUUCUUUAAUUCUCACCAUGGUUUCUUCAGGAAGAGCUUGUGUGCAAAUGCAGUUGACUGCAAAGGACUGGUACAGCUGGAAUGGAGGUGUACUGUAGGAGGAAAGUGGAAAAUGCUCAUGUCCCUCAUGCAUCUCUCUUUGGUGGCCUUUGAUGCACUUUUGAGCAUUUACUGGGAGCCUGAAGAACUUAUCCCAGUCUGAUAUAUAAAGCAACAAGCUUUCCUCUGAGAAGUAAAUCCACAUAUCUUUUGAGUAGUACCAGUAUUUAGAAAUAACCCUCCUAAGACAUGGCAAGCAUACACCUGGGCUCAGGAGUUUACAAUUUCUAUCAAGACAAUGUUGAUUUUAACCCUCCUGGUAAAAUGAUUAUGCUGUCAUAUUUUCACAGGGAAAAUCUGUUGGAGCCAGUUUUAACACAUCAUUACCCAUAAUUAAGGCCACAAAAGAUUUAUUCAAGGGCUUUUACAGAGGGUUCAGUAUUUUGCAUAUAGCAGUGGUUCAUUUUUAACACCAGAAAGGGUAAUUUCCAGCUUGGUAACCUGGAACCAAAGGUUACGGCAUCCAGGUAACAGGAGGAAUAGAGCCACCUGAGUUAUCAUGCAGUAAAAGGAUAAACUAUCUGGAGUUUUAAGUCCUGGAAGAACAAAGAAAGCUUUGAAAGUAGAUGUUGAAGCAGACGUUUAGAACUAAAUUGUCUUCAAGAAACAAUAUCAAGACUGUAAUUGAACUCCACUGAGGUUCUGAUUUUAGUGCAACCUAGUUCCAAACCAAUUAUUUUCUGUUCAAACCAAUCAGUUGGUAGGUGUGUAGGGCCUUCAUGUAAUUUGUAAGGUUCAGUUAAAAAUGAAACUGUAAUGCCUCCUUGUUCUAAAAACACUAACAAUAUUCUGUGAAUGGGGCUAAAAUAGAAAAAAAUUCUUUUAUGUUUUUUCUGACUUAUCAUAGUAUUUCUAUUUAAUACAAUCCUAGGUAAAAAUAUCAAAGUUAUAAAACAGCAUGAAUUUUAGAGGUCAUAUACAAUGCUCCUACUAACCCAAACUCAUCGCCAUUUAAUCCUUGUGUAGAAUCACCAAAAUUACAGAAUUUGUAUGUUGUAGUCAUGCAAGGCUAUGUGUUUUGUUCUGAGCCAUGGAAGCCUUCCUCAAAACAACACAAUCCUUUUAACUGUGAUUUGCACACAUCCUAUUAAUGUGCUAUUUUGUCUUUUCCUUUCCUUCCGUGCCCACAUUUAGCUUACGGAGAAAAGUAACAUGACUGAGAAAUGGUGACAGGCUUCCUUUCCCAUUUCUGGUUCUGAGAACACCAUUGGCUCCUUUCUGUAUUUGAGACAAUUUCUGAUUCAAGUGGAGACUGAGUGUCCCUCAGCUGUGAGCUUUCCCUCCCAGUUUAACAGUUUGUUCUUUGCCAAAGGAAACAUGAUUAAGGCAGCUGAGGAAGAGUUCUGGGCAGCAGUAAGAUACAAUGGUUGUGUCUCACACAGGACUCAGAAGAAUGGGGAAAUCUCUGUGGAUGCUCUUGAGGAGGGAUGGUAGAACUCUUAAAUGUUUGUUAGAGCCUUCAUCCAGUAGCUGAUGGAAGCAGAGGCAGACAUCCACAGCUAAACACUGAGCUGAACUCUGGAAUCCAGUUGCAGAGAGGGAGGAGUGAUGAGUAAAGGGGUCAAGACCAGUGGAGAAACCUAAAGAAACAGCUGACCUGAACAAAGGGUUGCCCAUGGACCCCAGACUGAUAGCUGGGAAACCAGCACAGGACUGUUCCAGACCCCAGAAGGCGGAGUUCUCUGGGUCCUGUAUUCUUGACACAGGACUUGCAAAACACACUGGCUAUGCUGACCAAGGACCUUUCCAGCUCCAAAGCCACUGACUCACGCUCCUGAGCAGCUGGUUUCCCACAGGAAAGGAGGUAGGUAGGGCAGUUUAAGGAUGCAUUUAUUUUAAAGACUCAUAAAAGAAAUUGCCUUGGCAUGAAUGAAAUGAGUAAGAGGAUUGUGACUCCCUAGUUGGGAGAGAUUAUCUUCGAUUUCGCAAGGAAUCCCUCUGCAGAGUCAGUCAAAUAAAUAAACCGAAGGAGCACCGGCAGCUGGCAAUUCUACUGAGAAGCAACAAGACCUCUCAAAGAUUGCGGGGCCUUUGUCAAGUCAUGGAAGUUGGAGAAGGACGGAAGACCCGUAAGAAUCACGAGGCUCGGGAUGACAACUGUGAGCAGAAGCGAUUGGCGCCUGGAGUGAACAUGCUCUCAUUGUCUUGGCAUCGAGUCCAGAUGAUGGGAGUGUGAGAUCGUCUUGAGGAUGGGAAUAACGCUAAGCCUGGAGGAGAGAGAGUAAACUAGAAAGAAAUAAAAUUGAGACGCGGCACAUAAUAUGCUAUUUCUUGAACACUCAAGUUUGUAUAUUGAAAAUUGUAGCUGUCACAUGACAGAAAUGGUGCAAAUAGCCACAUUAAUAUAAUAUAUGGGAAUUAAAUAUUGUUUUUUCUGGGGAAAUGAGAUUUAAUAGAAAAUAAUUUUUGCAUUGACAGCUUUACAUAUUUAUUUCACCUGUAACUGCUUUCCCUCUGUUAAAGGAGUGCGCUGUUUAUUUCUGUCAUUUAAGGAACAUUUAUUUCUGUUCUAUAAACACAAAUAUUUAGCAGCAAUGUAUAAAAAAUGAGUUCUAGUCAACUGCAUAAAUGACAAUGGUACUGUGCUUCAUCUUGUAAUUCACAAACUUACUAAAAAUUAUACAAAUGUGGCAUGAUACAAUAUAAAGUCAAAAUUUCUAAAGUAGUUGUAAAGUCAUAGAUGUCUAUUUGUAUAAAAUGAUAAUGUUUAACAUAUCCUUGAAUUCUCAGAACACUUCCAUAAAGCAAUUGUUUUUACUUUCUGUGGUUGAUAAUUAAAAUAUGUCUGAAACAUCUGAGGGAUACACAAUAUUAAAACAUUUUGAAGUCUUUGAAAAUCACAGUCAAGACUUUUAUGGAAAAGUAAAGAAGUAUGAGCUCAUUACUUAUGUGUCACAGUCUGAGGUGACUGCAGGAUAUCUUCUACCCCACAUUCCUUUAAAAAACCAAUAUCAAAUUAAUAUACAUAUAUAUAUAUAUUAAUCUGAGGAGAGCAUUUAAUGUUUAUCACAAAUUUACGUAAUUGCAUUAUAUAAGAUUUUACUGCCUAUUUUUCAACACCCUUUACUUUCAUAUGUCUUUCUUUGUCUUUUGUAAAUCAUAACCUGGGGCUGAGUCCCUGGACAAGAAGCACCAUCUUCUGACAUCACCUUAAUAAACAUUCCAUGUUAGGCAUGUCUCUUCUGCCUCUGUCACCAUCAGGUGCAGACGCAGUCGUUUUAGUGUCUAUUUUUGUCCAACAUGCUUCUUGUUUGCUUUGCUAGUCACAGCAGGUUAUCUUUGCAUUCAUUUUGCUGACUCUCACUUUUCCUCUUGCUCUGUAUAAUGCACACACAACACAGUCCAGCCUUUUUAGCCAGCAGAGUGUGAAUCACAGAACAACGUGAAAGGCUUGUCUUUCACUGCAGCUGUGACCCAACUUCCUUCCCGGUUGUUCUAAGUGCCCACUUUGUUUUCUACCCCUUUCCUUUCUUUCCACAUCCCUCACCAAUGAUGAUAUUUUGCUUGUCCAUGCUUAACUGCCUUUUGAGGCUCUUCUUUUCCUAUAUUUUCUGUAAGGACAACUCAAUUCAUUUCCACAGAAACGAAUUUAUUUAUUUAUUUAUUUAUUUAUUUAUUUAUUUAUUUAUGUUCUGGUAUUGCAACUUGUGUCACAGAUACAGCAUAGAAUUCACUGUUCAUUUGGAUUAUAAUUACUCAUCGACACACUUUGGGUAGGAGGAUGCUAAAACCUAGGAUAAAACGUUAAUAUGCUUUCAUGUCAUUAAAUCUUUGGAUAAAAGAACCGACUUUUGUGUACUUAACAAAUGGCUUUGAUGAAAAAGGAGUGUAUAAGAACAAGUGAAAAGGAUACAAAAAUUGCACAAAAUCAAGAGUAUGGAGAUGUGGCCAGGCAAACCAUUCUGUAAAAGCUACGUUGUAAAUAUGUUUGCCUUUGUAGGUCAUAGUCAAUGUAAACUUCAUCAUUUUAUUAAAGAAGCAGCCAGUGACAAUAUACAAGUGUCUGUAAGUGUGUGUGUGCUUGCACACACAUGUGUGUGUAUGUGUGUGUAAUAUCUAGUUUCAACAAAUAUCCUAAUGAAGUAAAAAAAUAUCACCUGGUCUUUGCAUAAAUGUCACAAUUGGUAGAAUCAGUGUUUGAUAUUUCUCCAUCAAUUCAAUUCAUUUCCAUUUUGCUGCUGGAUGAUUUCACGAUGUCUCUUACUUCAUAUUCACCAUGUCUAAAGUAUAAGUAAUUCUCUUGUGCCAAACAACAGUGUUAUUUAUUUCAAAGACUGGAUCUUCCCCCUGGACUGUAACAUCUAAAUCCAU
rnacentral:lncRNA from 1 species